AACGAACGCUGGCGGCAGGCUUAACACAUGCAAUUCGAACGCAUCCUUCGGGGUGAGUGUCAUACGGGUGAGUAACGCGUGUGAACGUGCCCUUCAGUUCGGGAUAACCCAGGGAAACUCGGGCUAAUACCGGAAACGGGCGAGAGCAGAAAGAUUUAUCGCUGAAGGAUCGGCCCGCGUCUGAUUAGCUAGUUGGUGGGGUAAUGGCCCACAAAGGCGACGAUCAGUAUCUGGUCUGAGAGAAUGAUCAGCCACAUUGGGACUGAGACACGGCCCAAACUCCUACGGGAGGCAGCAGUGGGGAAUAUUGGACAAUGGGCGCAAGCCUGAUCCAGCCAUGCCGCGUGAGUGAUGAAGGCCUUAGGGUUGUAAAGCUCUUUCGUCCGGGACGAUAAUGACGGUACCGGAAGAAGAAGCCCCGGCUAACUUCGUGCCAGCCGCCGCGGUAA
rnacentral:rRNA from 1 species